rnacentral:lncRNA from 1 species
UUAACAUAUAGAUAUUAGACACAUAGUUCUUGCUUGGUUUUGGUGACAUUCCGUAUAAGUCAUACUACUACUGCUACUAAUACUACGACUGCUAAUGCUACUCUACUGCUAUUUCCUCUUUUGCUGUUGCUGUUGCUACUGUUGCUGCUGCUGUUGUUGUUGUUGCUGUUGCAGCUGUUGAUGUUGCUGUUGAUGAUGUUGUUGCUGUUGCCGCGGUUGUUGUUGUGGUUAAUUCUGCAGCAUCUGAAUUGAAGCCUCCACGAAAGGUGAAGGACAUUCACAGGGUUGCUUUAAUUUUUACAAACUGAAAGUGCAUAAUCUCUCUGCAAAAGAUAAAAGAAAUCAAAUUUUCAACCUUCAAUAUCAUCAUUAGUUUAUCCAUAUUAAAGCAAAUUCUAAAUGUAAUUGCUUUACCUGCACACUUUCCAAGGGAAAUCAGAUUGCAAACAUAUAUGGUUGGUUGCUCGCACAAAAUUUUGGCAAUUGCUUGCGAACACUAAAUUGAAAUAAA